GGCCAUAUAGCUCAGUUGGUAGAGCACUUGCCUAGAAUGUAUGAAACCCUGGGUUGGAUUCCCAGGACCA
rnacentral:tRNA from 1 species